CAGCAGCCGCGGGAAAACGAAGGGGGCUAGCGUUGUUCGGAUUUACUGGGCGUAAAGGGCGCGUAGGCGGGCUGAUAAGUCAGGGGUGAAAUCCCAAGGCUCAACCUUGGAACUGCCUUUGAUACUGUUUGUCUUGAGUUCGAGAGAGGUAAGUGGAACUGCGAGUGUAGAGGUGAAAUUCGUAGAUAUUCGCAAGAACACCAGUGGCGAAGGCGGCUUACUGGCUCGAAACUGACGCUGAGGCGCGAAAGCGUGGGGAGCAAACAGGAUUAGAUACCCCGGUAGUCCCUGUCUCUUAUAC
rnacentral:rRNA from 1 species